AGAGGGACAGCUGGGUCAAAUGGUGGUUCCAUUCCAAGUUUUCCAAGGAACUUCCAUAAUGCUUUCCAGAUUGGAUGCACCAUUUUGCAGUCCCAACAACAAU
rnacentral:pre_miRNA from 1 species